UAGGGAAUCUUCGGCAAUGGGGGGAACCCUGACCGAGCAACGCCGCGUGAGUGAAGAAGGUUUUCGGAUCGUAAAGCUCUGUUGUUAAGGAAGAACGAGUGUGAGAAUGGAAAGUUCAUGCUGUGACGGUACUUAACCAGAAAGGGACGGCUAACUACGUGCCAGCAGCCGCGGUAAUACGUAGGUCCCGAGCGUUGUCCGGAUUUAUUGGGCGUAAAGCGAGCGCAGGCGGUUAGAAAAGUCUGAAGUGAAAGGCAGUGGCUCAACCAUUGUAGGCUUUGGAAACUGUUUAACUUGAGUGCAGAAGGGGAGAGUGGAAUUCCAUGUGUAGCGGUGAAAUGCGCAGAUAUAUGGAGGAACACCGGUGGCGAAAGCGGCUCUCUGGUCUGUAACUGACGCUGAGGCUCGAAAGCGUGGGGAGCGAACAGG
rnacentral:rRNA from 1 species